rnacentral:rRNA from 1 species
UGAGGAAUAUUGGUCAAUGGACGCAAGCCUGAACCAGCCAAGUAGCGUGCAGGAAGACGGCCCUAUGGGUUGUAAACUGCUUUUAUACGAGAAUAAUUUGAUGCACGUGUGCGUUAUUGCAUGUAUCGUAUGAAUAAGGACCGGCUAAUUCCGUGCCAGCAGCCGCGGUAAUACGGAAGGUCCAGGCGUUAUCCGGAUUUAUUGGGUUUAAAGGGAGUGUAGGCGGUUUGUUAAGCGUGUUGUGAAAUUUAGAUGCUCAACAUUUAACUUGCAGCGCGAACUGUCAGACUUGAGUACACGCAACGUAUGCGGAAUUCAUGGUGUAGCGGUGAAAUGCUUAGAUAUCAUGAAGAACUCCGAUUGCGAAGGCAGCAUACGGGAGUGUAACUGACGCUUAAGCUCGAAGGUGCGGGUAUCGAACAGGAUUAGAUACCCUGGUAGUCCGCACAGUAAACGAUGGAUGCCCGCUGUUAGCGCCUGGCGUUAGCGGCUAAGCGAAAGCAUUAAGCAUCCCACCUGGGGAGUACGCCGGCNACGGU